rnacentral:lncRNA from 1 species
AGCAGGGAGGAGCGCGUUGGAGGCCGAGCACACCAGCCGAGCCGCAUGGGCCUGGCGCGUCAGCAGACCCGCGGAGCAGUGGCCGUGGCACAGAAACAGGAAGGACGUUCGCACAUAGAGCUGUGUCAUGAUGAGUGUGGCUGAUACAGUUUGGAUCAGGAUGUCCCUGAAGGCUCCAUGUUGAGGCUUGGUCCCCAGCUGGUGGCACUAUUGAGGGAUGGUGAACUUAGGAGGUGGAUCUGGGGAGGAGGCUCGGCCCCAAGGGCGUGCCCUGGGACCACAGGUCUGGUCUCCAGCCUUGGCGUCUCUGUCUCUGCCCCAAGAUGAGCCAUUUCUCUCUACCACCUGCUCCUGCCUUGAGAUUCGGGUUCACCUAAGCCCAGAGAUUGGGGCCAACUGAAAACCAUGAGCCCGAAUCAGUCCUUCUUCCUCUAGGCUGCUUUUCUUGGGUAUUUAAUGAGUGAUGGAGACUAACAGUGGCCUUUUACGUCGUGGGGACAGGCUGGACUUGUUGAUAGAUGGUACCUGGCUGGCCAGUUGUAGAAAGGAGAUCAAGUGUUCCCAGCAGAUCGACCCCAGUGGGCCAGAGAAGUCACUUACACAGCAGAGAAAACAGCAAUUUCUCUUUAGCCUCAGUGCAAAGAGAGAUUUCCUAGCUGUGGCUCAGAUGUUCAUGGCAGUAAAAGGCGCAUAACUUUGUAGAAAUUUGAAAAUUCUUACAUGAAAAAAAGGGAAUGUGGUCAAAAGUCAACUAAAAAAUUUGAACAAAUAUAUGCAACAAGAUCUAACAUUCUUAAAAAUAAAGCUCUUAGAAAUUGAGGACAAAAACCAAAACCCAACAGAAAAUGAGAAAAUGGCAUGAACAAUUUACAAAGAUUAAGUAAAAAUGGGCCUUACGCAGGAGAUAUUCAGACUCACGACUGGAGACUCACAAACAGGAGCAGCCUUGCAGUACCGCCCCCUCCUGAGCGUGGCGGGAACUUCAGGGUGCACUGGCAGCC